UGGCCCUGACUGAAGACCUGCAGU
rnacentral:miRNA from 1 species